rnacentral:rRNA from 1 species
UUAACCUGCCCAAGAGACUGGGAUAACACCUGGAAACAGAUGCUAGUACCGGAUAACAACACUAGACGCAUGUCUAGAGUUUAAAAGAUGGUUCUGCUAUCAUUCUUGGAUGGACCUGCGGUGCAUUAGCUAGUUGGUAAGGUAACGGCUUACCAAGGCAAUGAUGCAUAGCCGAGUUGAGAGACUGAUCGGCCACAUUGGGACUGAGACACGGCCCAAACUCCUACGGAAGGCAGCAG